UGAAGUCAUUGCCUAGUUUCCGUCUCGUUAAGUGGUUUAACACUUCAACACUCAAUGAUUCAAAAUCAUCAUAAGUCCAUGUUAAUGGACUAUUUUUGUCAACCAACCAUUAUGUUCUAAACAUAAUUACAAACUUUCAAGAGUUGUACAAGGCAACUCUCAUUUCUUCAUACAACAAUUUGUAAGUGAAUAAUCAUGGCACAUAAAGUGUCCAUGCCCUUGUGCUUACUUCUCAAGUUCUUUGUUCAAUUAACAAAGAAAUAAG
rnacentral:lncRNA from 1 species